AUUGAACGCUGGCGGCAUGCUUUACACAUGCAAGUCGAACGGCAGCGCGGGGGCAACCCUGGCGGCGAGUGGCGAACGGGUGAGUAAUGUAUCGGAACGUAUCCUGUAAUGGGGGAUAACCAGUCGAAAGAUUGGGUAAUACCGCAUACGCACGAGAGUGGAAAGUAGGGGAUCGCAAGACCUUACGUUAUAGGAGCGGCCGAUAUCUGAUUAGCUAGUUGGUGGGGUAAAGGCCUACCAAGGCGACGAUCAGUAGCUGGUCUGAGAGGACGACCAGCCACACUGGGACUGAGACACGGCCCAGACUCCUACGGGAGGCAGCAGUGGGGAAUUUUGGACAAUGGGCGAAAGCCUGAUCCAGCCAUGCCGCGUGCAGGAAGAAGGCCUUCGGGUUGUAAACUGCUUUAGUCUAGGAAAAAAGGGGUGCGAGGUUAAUACCCUCGUGCUUUGAUGGUACUGGAAGAAUAAGCACCGGCUAACUACGUG
rnacentral:rRNA from 1 species